rnacentral:rRNA from 1 species
UACGGGGGGGAGCAAGCGUUGUUCGGAUUUACUGGGCGUAAAGGGCGCGUAGGCGGUCAGCACAAGUCAGUUGUGAAAUCUCCGGGCUUAACUCGGAAAGGUCAACUGAUACUGUGCGACUAGAGUGCGGAAGGGGCAACUGGAAUUCUUGGUGUAGCGGUGAAAUGCGUAGAUAUCAAGAGGAACACCUGCGGCGAAGGCGGGUUGCUGGGCCGACACUGACGCUGAAGCGCGAAGCCAGGGGAGCGAACGGG